rnacentral:tRNA from 2 species
GCUCCCUUCGUCUAGCGGUCAGGACGUUGGCCUCUCACGCCGAAAACAGGGGUUCGAUUCCCCUAGGGAGCGCCA